UGUUAACAACGUUUCUGGCAGAUGGGUGCCGAUGUAAGUGAUGAUGUGGCACUGAAAUCUCACGGUGUUUGGCCUGUACAGUAAGCUGCACAUGGGACCCGCACGUCAGCCUCUAUACUUCCUCCUCCACAAGCGUUGACAGGGGAAAAUAAUCACACCUGCAUCUGACCGGCGCACCACCGGAUUCAGCCGCCGGCCGGCUCGCGAGCCUCCGCCUCCGUGAUCUCCCUCCACCUUGUCUAUCUAUGCUCCUGCACGCGAGCCGCAUCAGCGACCAUGCCCAGGCACGGGGGCGCGAGCAGCAGCGGCGGCAUCGACCAGGCACGGGGGCGCGAGCAGCCACGCAAGGGCACGAGCAAGUGCAGCGGCCACGGCUACGCACGGGGGCGCGAGCAGCAGCAGCAGCAGCCACGCACGGGGGCACGAGCUGCAGCACCGGCCGCGCCCAUGCGCGCGAGCAGCAGCACCGGCCUCGGGACGGGCCGCGAGCAGCAGCACCGGCCGCGCCCGGGCACGCGACCAUCAGCACCGGCCACGCCCGGGCACGCGACCAUCAGCACCGGCCACGCGACGGGCCGCGAGCAGCAGCACUAGCCGUGCCCGGGCACGCGACCAUCAGCAGCGGCCACGCAAGGCGGCUCGAGCUACCGCCUGCUACAGAGUACGGGCACGCCGCAGCGAUGGCAGGAACGCGAACUCUGCCCAGCGUCCCGACUACCCCGUGGGCGCCCUGGUCCGGCGCCGAGAUCCCUCAUGAGGGCCAUCUCCUUCCCCCCUAUUUCGCCGUUGCCCGCGACCUCCCGAGCACCAUGGCCGAGAGCACGAGCUCUUGGUCCGCCCCGCGCCCCGACUACCCCAUGAUCGCCUGGUCCGGCGCCGCCUCUCUGCCUGCGGCCGCGCUACCUCGCACUCAAGUCACUCGCAGCCCAUUCCUACACUGCCACUGGCGAGCUAGGCAGCCGACGGGAUGCCCUCUAGGUGUUUGAGGAAAUUACUCAACAGGACCUAACGUCCGUCUCCUCACUCUGUUUGGCAUAUGCCAGGUUGACCUGACAAUAGGAUCUACCCGUCAGAUUCGUUGUCAAACGGCUCUAAUCAAUCGAUCAGUGUUUUCUGAAAACUGUCAGCACAAUCCUGGCGGUUAUUUGAAAAAAAAUCGAAAGGUGGUGGUUUUUUGAAUUAGGGUCCCCAAUUGUGGUGGUUUUUUGCAAUUUACUCCUUUGAAGGUUUGCUUAUGUUCUCUUUGAUCCUUCCUGAAUGCGAAUAAGAAAAGAAAGUUGAAACAUGUUCACUAAUAUGUGUGCUUUGCAGGCUUUGUUUCCAUGUAGGGAUGUAUUUGAGUGUACACUUACCUGACUUUAUAUAGUGUGUCAUCUUUUGUUUAUGGCUAGAACUGCUGUAUCAAAUGUGCAAAUGGCACCAACAUCAUACAGUGGGCCAUGCCUGAUAGCUAUUGCUGUCAUUUCCCCUCCUGAAAUCAUCCUUUUCCUAUAUGUAGGAGGUUCAGUAAGGUUGCUCACCAAUGAGCUGGGAGUAUUUUUGUCCUGAGUACUUGCAUGAUUGAAGAAGAAAUCAGGUAUUGCUAAAUGUGCUAUUGCAGAUCAAAGGUGAACUCAAACGAUUUUCUUACUUCAAUCUCAGGCAAAGGAGAUGAAGCGCACGCGCAGUGCCAACGCCGCCGCCGCCGCCGCCGGAUUUUCUCUCGAGUCAGGGGAGGUGUUUGGGGGAUCGACUAGGAAGGAUCGAACGGCAGCUGGAGAAGACCUGCACAAGGGUGCCACCAGUCAUUAUGUUCUAGACCAAAUAGAUCGUAAUGCGAUCGAGUUGGAGAGGUGGAUUCAGACAACAGAUUCCUUCACAAAUUCAAAGGCAGAACUCAAAAAAGAAAGGGCAAGGAAAUGAAGGACGCAGGACUACUAGAGGCAAAGACAGACAGACGCGGCCGGAGCACUAUGACGGCUUUGAUGGGCGUGGAGGAGUGCACGAAGACGCUGCGGAGCACUGCUGAGGAGCUUGUCAGCAGGAGUAGCUGCUCCCGCUGCUGCAUCACAACCGCAUCCUGAUCUGCUUCGACAGGUUCAAGCCCUCCGUCACCGGCCGUGUGCACAUCUGGAAGGGUGUUGGAAAGGUGAUCAGUGUGAACAAGAUGGUCAGGGCCGGAUGCAAAGUGAAGAUCCUAAUAGUGGACUAGAGGCCUGGGCUGAAGGACUCCGCAAGAUCAAGGAGCGGCUGGACCACGACAAGGACGUCGGCGGUGGCUUCUCCGCCAUGUGGGAUUAUUGUUUGACCUUUCACAGUUACUUCAGGUGUCCAUAACAUCAAGCAUAAUUUUGGUGCUUCUUAACCUUUUGCAUUCUAUUCUAAUCCUAUGACAGAAGUUUUCUUAAUACUUUUAGUUAUGAAUUUUGUUUUGUGAUCUUCUUCCUGAUUCGAUGUGAUUAGCAUAAUACUAAAUUUGUUGGCUACUAAUUGAUACUUCUGUGUGAUACCUUUAGUGUGUGCUGACCGGAUUAAUCUAAAGUACCAAGAUUUGCUUGU